AGGACGAACGCUGGCGGCGUGCCUAACACAUGCAAGUCGAACGGGACCAGGGGCAACUCUGGUUCAGUGGCGGACGGGUGCGUAACACGUGAGGAACAUGACCUUGGCGGGGGGAUAGCCGGCCCAACGGCCGGGUAAUACCGCGUACGACCUUUUCGGGGACAUCCCUGGAUGGGUGAAAGCAGCAAUGCGCCGAUGGAGUGCCUCGCGGCCUAUCAGCUAGUUGGUGAGGUAACGCUCACCAAGGCAACGACGGGUAGCUAGGUCUGAGAGGAUGGCCAGCCACAUUGGGACUGGAGACACGGCCCAGACUCCGUACGGGAGCCAGCGAGGUAGGGGAA
rnacentral:rRNA from 1 species